GGGGUGGGUGCUAUGACUACUCUGAUUUACAGACACGCAACUUCUCAGCUCAGAACUGAGGCAGGUGGGUGGGAGGUUUUGUUCUCCCGCGGAGCGCUGAGGCGUUGGCGGGCACUGGGACGCCCUGGCUGCUGCUCUUCAGACCUCAGCAGACAGAAACUAUCUUCCGAAGGAAACCAGGGUCAGACUGUAGGGCUCUGAUCCUCCAUGUCUGUAAAAAGUAUGGCAGUAUCCAGAAGGCCCAAGCAGGAGCUUUGCGGGUCACAUUUUGGACAAGUGGAGAAGAACGUCCACUGUUUGCCUUGGGACUACCAGGAGAUGAAGAUAGUUCCCAGAAAUCUGCCAUGAGUUGCAGGGGACAGCUGAGGUUGAUUCAGGUUGGAGUCAGCAUCUAAGAGCAAAAGAAAGAGAAGGUUUGGCCCAAACAACUUCUGAAUGAACAGAGGCAGCGCUUCCUCUUACAACUCACUUCUGUUUCCUCUGUCAUAACCAUGGAGAGCCAUUUGAUGAAAAUGAGGUGCAGUUCCAUGGAGCAAGGAUGUGCUUAAUGCAAUAGAGUACCUUCGGGAUGUCAUCAGAACUUCUGUCAAAUUGGAAGUGAAAGUUAUUCCAGAUACCAGAAAGGCUGCAGAGACAGUUAACUUGUUAAGUAAAAUGACCUCGUACCUGGAGAUCAAGUACUGAAAUGUGUCCAGAAAAACUUAAAGAAGCCAAAGAAUAAGUCUGUUUCCUCAGAGCAACUCUGCGACUGGACUGUACAGUUUUUGCCUUCUGUGAUGCAGCUGCCAUGAUCUGAUAAGGGUGUUCCAUGUAACUACAGGGGUUUUAAUUUCUUCAGGUCUUCAUUCCUGCUGGUCUUGUGUAGCCUUCAACUAGAUAAUCACUCAACUGUCUCUAGACUGACCUCAUUAAAAGAAAACAAAAUCCUACGUGAAGAAUAAUAGAGAACACCUUGAUGAGACUAUGGCAGGAUGUGGUUUUCUCAGCGAGAAUAAUGUGCAGAGACUCUGAAACCUUCUUGAAAAGCCCUCUUGUUUGUGAGGAGAGACAUACCCUAUUCAUGCUCCUGCAAGGAGCAGGAAAAGGAUGGGUCUUACAGGGAUGACUGUUCACAAAAACAGCUCCAGGAUGUCUCAAGCCCAUACGAGUUGCUUAAAUACUGGUCACUACAUGACAACUAGCAGACACCCAUUAACAGGUUAUAAGCACCACAGUUAUUCAUAGGAGGAAAAAAUUAAAAUGACUAAAAGACUCAAAACACUGACAGGUACAGUCAAGUGCAUGUGUUGACUUGGAGAGGAAAGCCUUCCCCUUUUCACCAUACCAGUCUGGACAUUACCUUUGAACCUGGUUCAGAAGGAAUCUGGUAUUGCAACUGCUCAAAAGAUGGUGACUGCAAUGACCAACAGGGAAGCACAGAGAAGGGCACUUGCAAAGAUUCACUCAGAGACUUACACUUCAAACAAUACCAGAACUGUAAUUCAGAUCAACCUUGAUGGUCAAUACUGGGAAUGCUCUUUAUGUGGUUAGACAUUGGCAAUGCUGUACGUUAGUGAUUCUAAUGAAGCUAAUAUGAUCAGCUCUUACUGAGGUGGUGUAAUGAUUAUGGAGGCAGGGACUGAGGACAAAGCAGAUUUGUGGUGUUUGUUUGCUUCUAGAUAUUUCAAAAAGGAAGAGUGGUCUCUUUGCCUAGCAUCAUUUUGAAUUAUCCAUACUCUGAGGAGCCCAUAAUAGAAAUCUGUAGGGAAUACCGAGAACAGGAUGAAACAAAAUGAAUCAAACCAUUUGGACUUUCUGGUGACUUCUAGCCCCUGGACUUGAAGAAACUACUGUGAAAUAAUCAAAAAUAUCAUCCUUGAAACUGAGCUAUCACUUGUCUGCGGCUUCAAUGCUUUCUAUGCCUUUAAGAAGGGGCAAAUACAAAACCAAUAAAAAGCAGCUUUGGAUUAAUCCGCUGAAAUAAGAAACACUGCUAGGCAUCUCUGGAGAUGUUUAAAAGGCAUAUAGAUGAGGUUCUUACGGACAUGGUUUAGUGUUAGAGUUAGGUUAUGGUUGGACUCAAUGAUCCUGAGGAUCUCUUCCAACCAAAAUGAUUCUAUGAUUCUUAGUAGACCACUCAGUGUCUAUAAGAGUGGCAGAGAUCCAAUAGCAGCAUGUGUGUUCUGCACAGUACACUGUUGCCUGACCAACGCAAGGGAAGGACAAAGUGUGCAAUCUCUUCUAAAACCACAGGGGAAGACCUCCCAUUCUCAAGACGCAAGAUACAUCUUUAUCUUUAAAGCAUAGUCAUCUAAUUUCUCAUUCCAAACCCCAACCACAUCUACUUCUUUUUCUAAAAUAAGCCUUUUCCAAUAUAAUAUCUUUUCUCACCUUCCUUUACUAGAAAUGAAAUGAGUAUCUUAAAUUGUUUCAUGGAAACAGAAAGGGGUACCAAAGUAGUGUUGCAUCUCUCUUGGAAGAAAUCAAGAUUGUCGCUAAGCUACCAACCCAUGAACAGGCUCAGGAGCAGCUCAUGGCACUCUAGUAGCACGGAAGGUUACUGUUUGUUUUAUAACUACAGUCAAUAUCUACAGUUGAAAACAACUGGUUGUCAAAGAACCACAAUUUGACAGUGCUAAAUUAAAUAUGCUGCUCAGUGUGCAGCAGAAGCAAGGAAGCCUUAAUACCUGAUCUGGGAAGCCUUCCCAUACUAUGUCUCCAGUGCAAUCACCUGGCUUUUCCAACGGCUAUAUUCCCUUCACUUCCUUCUCUAAUAAUUGCCUUCUGCGGGUCUUCUCCAAAUAUUACCAGUUUUGCUUAAAAAUGCCUUAAAUUUGCAGUAAUUCCAGCUUCCACUUUGUCCAUUAACUAAAGAGGGAGUAUACUCUGUGGCAGGUUCAGAUAGAGAGAGGAGAAAUAAGUUCCAAUACCAGAUAUUUUCAAAGAAGGUCUAAAUUUAAUUAUAGCUUCUCAACUCAGUAAUUAAUUUUUGUAAACCUUCAUGAUAUUUAUUAUCUUCAAUCCAUCUAUCAAAUCUAGCUGAUGGCAAUAAGACAAAAGGUUAUUGCCAAGAUGAGUGGAAAACAGCCUCGCAAAAA